CGGGGCACCAAAUUCAUGUAUCUUUACCAAUUAACCAAUUUCUUGACGCUGGGGUGGAUCCUAAAGAGAUACCACUUCCUCAUGAAUUUAUCUUGAAUCGGGACCUUUUGGCUCAACUUUAUCCUAGUUUUGCCGAAGGAGCAACCCCUUUUUUCACUUUAAAUUGGUCCAAAUACGCAGAAUUUCUGACUUUUCGCGGAGGACUAGAUCCAGUAACCGGUGGUCUCUGGCUGACCGAUAUUGCGCACCAUCAUUUAGCUAUUGCUAUUCUUUUCCUAAUCGCAGGUCAUAUGUAUAGGACCAAUUGGGGUAUUGGCCAUGGACUUAAAGAUAUUUUGGAGGCUCGCAAGGGCCCAUUUACAGGACAAGGCCAUAAGGGUCUUUAUGAAAUCUUAACAACGUCAUGGCAUGCUCAAUUAUCUCUUAACCUAGCUAUGCUAGGCUCUACAACCAUUGUUGUAGCUCAUCAUAUGUAUUCUAUGCCUCCCUAUCCAUACCUAGCUACUGACUAUGGUACACAACUUUCCUUGUUCACACACCACAUGUGGAUUGGCGGAUUUCUAAUAGUCGGUGCUGCUGCACAUGCAGCAAUUUUUAUGGUAAGAGACUAUGAUCCAACUACUCGAUACAACGAUCUAUUAGAUCGCGUCCUUAGACACCGCGAUGCAAUCAUAUCCCACCUUAACUGGGUAUGUAUAUUUCUAGGUUUUCACAGUUUUGGCUUGUACAUUCAUAAUGAUAC
rnacentral:rRNA from 1 species